GGCGUAGAUGGGACUAGGUGUGGGGGAAUUCCACGUUCUCCGCGCCGUAGCUAACGCAUUAAGUGCCCCGCCUGGGGAGUACGGUCGCAAGGCUAAAACUCAAAGGAAUUGACGGGGGCCCGCACAAGCGGCGGAGCAUGCGGAUUAAUUCGAUGCAACGCGAAGAACCUUACCAAGGCUUGACAUACACUGGACCGUUCUGGAAACAGUUCUUCUCUUUGGAGCUGGUGUACAGGUGGUGCAUGGUUGUCGUCAGCUCGUGUCGUGAGAUGUUGGGUUAAGUCCCGCAACGAGCGCAACCCUCGUUCUAUGUUGCCAGCACGUGAUGGUGGGAACUCAUAGGAGACUGCCGGGGUCAACUCGGAGGAAGGUGGGGAUGACGUCAAAUCAUCAUGCCCUUUAUGUCUUGGGCUUCACGCAUGCUACAAUGGCUGGUACAGAGAGAGGCGAACCCGUGAGGGUAAGCGAAUCCCUUAAAGCCAGUCUCAGUUCGGAUCGUAGUCUGCAAUUCGACUACGUGAAGUCGGAGUCGCUAGUAAUCGCAGAUCAGCAACGCUGCGGUGAAUACGUUCCCGGGCCUUGUACACACCGCCCGUCAAGUCACGAAAGUCGGUAACACCCGAAGCCGGUGUCCCAACCCACUUGUGGGAGGGGGCCGUCUAAGGUGGGACUGGUGAUUGGGACUAAUCUAA
rnacentral:rRNA from 1 species